rnacentral:rRNA from 1 species
GGCGGACGGGUGAGUAACGCGUAGGAAACUACCCAGUAGUGGGGGAUAACAUGUGGAAACGCAUGCUAAUACCGCAUACGCCCUAAGGGGGAAAGCGGGGGAUCUUCGGACCUCGUGCUAUUGGAUGUGCCUGCGUAAGAUUAGCUUGUUGGUGGGGUAAAGGCUCACCAAGGCGACGAUCUUUAGCUGGUCUGAGAGGAUGAUCAGCCACACUGGAACUGAGACACGGUCCAGACUCCUACGGGAGGCAGCAGUGGGGAAUAUUGGACAAUGGGCGCAAGCCUGAUCUAGCCAUGCCGCGUGAGUGACGAAGGUCUUAGGAUCGUAAAGCUCUUUCGCCAGAGAUGAUAAUGACAGUAUCUGGUAAAGAAACCCCGGCUAACUCCGUGCCAGCAGCCGCGGUAAUACGGAGGGGGUUAGCGUUGUUCGGAAUUACUGGGCGUAAAGCGUACGUAGGCGGAUUGGAAAGUAGGGGGUGAAAUCCCAGGGCUCAACCCUGGAACUGCCUCCUAAACUAUCAGUCUAGAGUUCGAGAGAGGUGAGUGGAAUUCCAAGUGUAGAGGUGAAAUUCGUAGAUAUUUGGAGGAACACCAGUGGCGAAGGCGGCUCACUGGCUCGAUACUGACGCUGAGGUACGAAAGUGUGGGGAGCAAACAGGAUUAGAUACCCUGGUAGUCCACACCGUAAACGAUGAGA